rnacentral:rRNA from 1 species
GCGUUGUCCGGAUUUAUUGGGCGUAAAGAGCGUGUAGGCGGCCUGCCAGGUCUGCUGUGAAAACUCGAGGCUCAACCUCGAGAUGUCGGCGGAAACCGUCUGGCUAGAGUCCGGAAGAGGAGAGUGGAAUUCCUGGUGUAGCGGUGAAAUGCGCAGAUAUCAGGAAGAACACCUAUGGCGAAGGCAGCUCUCUGGGACGGUACUGACGCUGAGACGCGAAAGCGUGGGGAGCGAACAGG